rnacentral:rRNA from 1 species
AGUCGAGGGGUAUAGUUCUUCGGAACUUGAGACCGGCGCACGGGUGCGUAACGCGUAUGCAAUCUACCUUUUACAGAGGGAUAGCCCAGAGAAAUUUGGAUUAAUACCUCAUAGUAUAUAGCCCUGGCAUCAGGAUUAUAUUAAAGUCACAACGGUAAAAGAUGAGCAUGCGUCCCAUUAGCUAGUUGGUAAGGUAACGGCUUACCAAGGCUACGAUGGGUAGGGGUCCUGAGAGGGAGAUCCCCCACACUGGUACUGAGACACGGACCAGACUCCUACGGGAGGCAGCAGUGAGGAAUAUUGGACAAUGGGCGCAAGCCUGAUCCAGCCAUGCCGCGUGCAGGAUGACGGUCCUAUGGAUUGUAAACUGCUUUUAUACGAGAAGAAACACUCCAACGUGUUGGAGCUUGACGGUAUCGUAAGAAUAAGGAUCGGCUAACUCCGUGCCAGCAGCCGCGGUAAUACGGAGGAUCCAAGCGUUAUCCGGAAUCAUUGGGUUUAAAGGGUCCGUAGGCGGUUUAAUAAGUCAGUGGUGAAAGCCCAUCGCUCAACGGCGGAACGGCCAUUGAUACUGUUAAACUUGAAUUAUUAGGAAGUAACUAGAAUAUGUAGUGUAGCGGUGAAAUGCUUAGAGAUCACAUGGAAUACCAAUUGCGAAGGCAGGUUACUACUAAUGGAUUGACGCUGAUGGACGAAAGCGUGGGUAGCGAACAGGAUUAGAUACCCUGGUAGUCCACGCCGUAAACGAUGGAUACUAGCUGUUGGAAGCAAUUUCAGUGGCUAAGCGAAAGUGAUAAGUAUCCCACCUGGGGAGUACGUUCGCAAGAAUGAAACUCAAAGGAAUUGACGGGGG